rnacentral:rRNA from 1 species
AUUGAACGCUGGCGGAAUGCUUUACACAUGCAAGUCGAACGGCAGCACGGGGCAACCUGGUGGCGAGUGGCGAACGGGUGAGUAAUACAUCGGAACGUGCCCAAUCGUGGGGGAUAACGUAGCGAAAGUUACGCUAAUACCGCAUACGAUCUACGGAUGAAAGCGGGGGAUCGCAAGACCUCGCGCGAGUGGAGCGGCCGAUGUCAGAUUAGGUAGUUGGUGGGGUAAAGGCUCACCAAGCCAACGAUCUGUAGCUGGUCUGAGAGGACGACCAGCCACACUGGAACUGAGACACGGUCCAGACUCCUACGGGAGGCAGCAGUGGGGAAUUUUGGACAAUGGGCGAAAGCCUGACCCAGCGACGCCGCGUGGAGGACGAAGCCCUUCGGGGUGUAAACUCCUUUUCUCAGGGAAAAGGAUGAUGGUACCUGAGGAAUAAGCCCCGGCUAACUACGUG